UUCACCGAGCUUCCUGAACAGCCUCUCCCUGGGUGCCCAGGGUCUCUCAGCUCUCCUCCUUACCCUGGCAGGCUUCCUCUGGCUGCCUUGAGAGCCAGAACGCCCAUGCCAGGCUUUUCCACGUGUUUACACGGUUAUGGUUCAAGUGGCUUUUUAAAACAGAUGCUGCCUUUCUGUGAGUGAAGCUUCUGGACACUGUUUUUCCAGGACAGAAGAUUGUCUUCCUCCUGCCGUUUACACUGAGUGAAACAGAAUCCCACCCUGCUGAGGGGAGUCAGACCUGUUCUUUGGGAAGACUAUCUUGGCCCCAGUGUGGAGAACAUAUUGGAGAGGGGAGAGUGAAGCCCAGACAAAUCAGCACCCAGCCUGGGGGAGAAGAGUUUCUAUGGAAAUGACUUCAGUGUCCCAGGACUUCAUUAUUACAGUAGGCGCUUUAUAAAUGCUGGUAAAACUGAGUUGAAAUAAAUGUUAGACAGUGAUUUAGGGCUGCUUAUUUCUUAUAAAUGUGACCUGCAAAUGCAGACCCAAAAGCCGAAUGUGAUGUCUGUAAGAGCUCCAAGCUUCACACCUUUGUGAACCAAGUCUCACACCAGCGUUUUGCGGACCACACAUGUUCCAACCUAUUAAAAAAGCAAUAUUUAUGUAUAUGGGUGAAACAGGGGACAUAUGACUUUUUAUUGUAUUGUUUUUAACAAAGCAU